rnacentral:sRNA from 1 species
GCAAUAGUGGCUUACGUGGGCGGUCGGCAUCACCUCAGAAAGGAGGUGAUGCUAUGGAGACGUUUCAGGCUCUUCAAUUAAUGUUCCUAUUCGGAAUGUUUAUUCUAGCGCUACUAACGUUUAUCCAGAAAAUGAAAUAGAUCGCCCUCGGUAAGGAAACGAUCCAUUUCGUUUGAAAACCCUUAUAAGCCGACCGCCUAUUGUGCGGCUGUUGCUGACCGUAGACGUUGACGCGUCUGCG